ensembl:lncRNA
UGUCUGUCCACUUGUCAUUGACUGCAGCAACGCCACCAUCAGUUCUGUGCCUGGCACAGAGUUGAUAUUUGAAGCAUGGCUGCUCAUCUGUAAAGCCCCUGUCUACCUUCACCGGUUCCCUCAGGCACAUUCCAAGACUUGAGGAGCUGGUGGGACCUACGUGCACCUGGCUUUCCACUCUCCUGUGUCAGAACUUCCUUCCUGGCAGGCGAGGCGGCAGCCUGCAAGCAGGAGCCCCGGGCAGUCGCUCCAGCCAGGAGCCUGGUGCAGACAAUGGUUCAGCCAGUACCUGCAAUUUCCAGGAAAAUCAAUUUAGAUGACAAAAUCAAAAAGGUGGAAUUGGAGUGAAGAAAAUGGCCCAGAGCUGAGUGUCUUCAAAGGGAAC